UAGCCUUCGGCAGCACAUAUACUAAAAUUGGAACGAUACAGAGAAGAUUAGCAUGGCCCCUACACAAUUUUUAUUAAAAUGUUUCUUACAUACCAUUAUAUU